rnacentral:rRNA from 1 species
GACGAACGCUGGCGGCGUGCUUAACACAUGCAAGUCGAACGGUAAGGCCCUUCGGGUACGACGAGUGGCGAACGGGUGAGUAACACGUGGGUGAUCUGCCCUGCACUUCGGGAUAAGCCUGGGAAACUGGGUCUAAUACCGGAUAGGACCAUGGACUUCACGGUUUGUGGUGGAAAGCUUUUGCGGUGUGGGAUGGGCCCGCGGCCUAUCAGCUUGUUGGUGGGGUAAUGGCCUACCAAGGCGACGACGGGUAGCCGGCCUGAGAGGGUGUCCGGCCACACUGGGACUGAGAUACGGCCCAGACUCCUACGGGAGGCAGCAGUGGGGAAUAUUGCACAAUGGGCGCAAGCCUGAUGCAGCGACGCCGCGUGAGGGAUGACGGCCUCGGUUGUAA